GGAUAGCGGUGUUUUGCUAUCCCCAGCUAAUUAUACAAUGACAUGUAGAAAAAUUAUCCUACGUGUCAUUGCAUUAUUGAUCGGGAAUAGCAAAAUAAGAGUUUUUU
rnacentral:pre_miRNA from 1 species